rnacentral:rRNA from 1 species
GUGCCAGCAGCCGCGGUAAUACGGAGGGUGCAAGCGUUAAUCGGAAUUACUGGGCGUAAAGCGCACGCAGGCGGUUUGUUAAGUCAGAUGUGAAAUCCCCGGGCUCAACCUGGGAACUGCAUCUGAUACUGGCAAGCUUGAGUCUCGUAGGGGGGGGUAGAAUUCCAGGCGUACCGGCGAAAUGCGUAAAGAUCUGGAGGAAUACCGGUGGGGGAAGGCGGCCCCCUGGAGAAGGAUUGACGUUCAGGUGCGAAAAGCGUGGGGAGCAAACAGGGUUAGAUACCCUGGUAGUCC